rnacentral:rRNA from 1 species
AUUGAACGCUGGCGGCAGGCCUAACACAUGCAAGUCGAACGAGUGGCGGACGGGUGAGUAAUGUCUGGGAAACUGCCUGAUGGAGGGGGAUAACUACUGGAACCGGUCGCUAAUACCGCCUACCAUCAAAUGUGCCCAGAUGGGAUUCGCUAGUUGGUGGGGUAAAGGCUCACCAAGGCUACGAUCCCUAGCUGGUCUGCGAGGAGGACCAGCCACACUGGAACGGAGACACGGUCCAGACUCCUACGGGAGGUAGCAGUGGGGAAUAUUGAACAAUGGGCGCAAGCCUGAUGCAGCCAUGCCGCGUGUAUGAAGAAGGCCUUCGGGUUGUAAAGUACUUUAAGCGGGGAGGCGUUACCCGCAGAAGAAGCACCGGCUAACUCCGUGCCAGCAGCCGCGGUAAUAC